UAAUACGUAGGGUCCGAGCGUUGUCCGGAAUUAUUGGGCGUAAAGGGCUCGUAGGCGGUUCGUCACGUCGGGAGUGAAAACUCGGAGCUCAACUCCGAGCCUGCUUCCGAUACGGGCAGACUAGAGGUAGGCAGGGGAGAGCGGAACUCCUGGUGUAGCGGUGGAAUGCGCAGAUAUCAGGAAGAACACCGGUGGCGAAGGCGGCUCUCUGGGCCUUACCUGACGCUGAGGAGCGAAAGCGUGGGUAGCGAACAGGAUUAGAUACCCUGGUAGUCCACGCCGUAAACGUUGGGCGCUAGGUGUGGGGGACAUUCCACGUCCUCCGUGCCGCAGCUAACGCAUUAAGCGCCCCGCCUGGGGAGUACGGCCGCAAGGCUA
rnacentral:rRNA from 1 species